GGUUGUUUGGCCGAGCGGUCUAAGGCGCCUGAUUCAAGAAAUAUCUUGAUCGCAGUUAACUGUGGGAACACUCAGGUAUCGUAAGAUGCAAGAGUUCGAAUCUCUUAGCAACCA
rnacentral:tRNA from 1 species